GACGAACGCUGGCGGCGUGCUUAACACAUGCAAGUCGAACGGAAAGGCCCUGCUUUUGUGGGGUGCUCGAGUGGCGAACGGGUGAGUAACACGUGAGUAACCUGCCCUUGACUUUGGGAUAACUUCAGGAAACUGGGGCUAAUACCGGAUAGGAGCUCCUGCUGCAUGGUGGGGGUUGGAAAGUUUCGGCGGUUGGGGAUGGACUCGCGGCUUAUCAGCUUGUUGGUGGGGUAGUGGCUUACCAAGGCUUUGACGGGUAGCCGGCCUGAGAGGGUGACCGGCCAACUUGGGACUGAGAUACGGCCCAGACUCCUACGGGAGGCAGCAGUGGGGAAUAUUGCACCAUGGGCGGAAGCCUGAUGCAGCAACGCCGCGUGCGGGAUGACGGCCUUCGGGUUGUAAACCGCUUUCGCCUGUGACGAAGCGUGAGUGACGGUAAUGGGUAAAGAAGCACCGGCUAACUACGUG
rnacentral:rRNA from 1 species